rnacentral:rRNA from 1 species
UACAGAGGUGGCAAGCGUUGUUCGGAAUUACUGGGCGUAAAGGGCGCGUAGGCGGCCAUCUAAGUCAGACGUGAAAUCCCCCGGCUUAACCUGGGAACUGCGUCUGAUACUGGAAGGCUUGAGUAUGGGAGAGGGAUGUAGAAUUCCAGGUGUAGCGGUGAAAUGCGUAGAUAUCUGGAGGAAUACCGAUGGCGAAGGCAGGUCUCUGGGCUGACACUGACGCUCAUGCACGAAAGCGUGGGGAGCAAACAGG